AGUGAACGCUGGCGGUAGGCCUAACACAUGCAAGUCGAACGGCAGCACAGUAAGAGCUUGCUCUUACGGGUGGCGAGUGGCGGACGGGUGAGGAAUACAUCGGAAUCUACUUUUUCGUGGGGGAUAACGUAGGGAAACUUACGCUAAUACCGCAUACGACCUACGGGUGAAAGCAGGGGAUCUUCGGACCUUGCGCGAUUGAAUGAGCCGAUGUCGGAUUAGCUAGUUGGCGGGGUAAAGGCCCACCAAGGCGACGAUCCGUAGCUGGUCUGAGAGGAUGAUCAGCCACGCUGGAACUGAGACACGGUCCAGACUCCUACGGGAGGCAGCAGUGGGGAAUAUUGGACAAUGGGCACAAGCCUGAUCCAGCCAUACCGCGUGGGUGAAGAAGGCCUUCGGGUUGUAAAGCCCUUUUGUUGGGAAAGAAAAGCAGCAGGUUAAUACCCCGCUGUUCUGACGGUACCCAAAGAAUAAGCACCGGCUAACUUCGUG
rnacentral:rRNA from 1 species